rnacentral:rRNA from 1 species
CACACCGCCCGUCACGUCAUGGGAGCCGGCAACACCUGAAGUCGUUGAGCCAACCCGCAAGGGAGGCAGACGCCCAAGGUGGGGCUGGUGACUGGGACG